rnacentral:rRNA from 1 species
UACGUAGGGUGCAAGCGUUAAUCGGAAUUACUGGGCGUAAAGCGUGCGCAGGCGGUUUUGUAAGUCUGUCGUGAAAUCCCCCGGGCUCAACCUGGGAAUUGCGAUGGAGACUGCAAGGCUAGAAUCUGGCAGAGGGGGGUAGAAUUCCACGUGUAGCAGUGAAAUGCGUAGAGAUGUGGAGGAACACCGAUGGCGAAGGCAGCCCCCUGGGUCAAGAUUGACGCUCAUGCACGAAAGUGCGGGGAUCAAAC